rnacentral:misc_RNA from 1 species
UACAGAGGUCCCAAGCGUUGUUCGGAUUCACUGGGCGUAAAGGGUGCGUAGGUGGCCAGGUAAGUCUGAUGUGAAAGCUCCGAGCUCAACUCGGAAAGGUCAUUGGAUACUAUCUGGCUGGAGGGUCGGAGGGGAGACUGGAAUUCUCGGUGUAGCAGUGAAAUGCGUAGAUAUCGAGAGGAACACCGGUGGCGAAGGCGAGUCUCUGGACGACACCUGACACUGAGGCACGAAAGCUAGGGGAGCAAACAGG